CCUACGGGUGGCAGCAGUGAGGAAUAUUGGUCAAUGGGCGCAAGUCUGAACCAGCCAUGCCGCGUGAAGGAAGACGGCUCUAUGAGUUGUAAACUGCUUUUGUACAGGGGUAAACCUGAAUACGUGUAUCCAGCUGAAAGUACUUUACGAAUAAGGCUCGGCUAACUCCGUGCCAGCAGCCGCGGUAAUACGGAGGAUCCAAGCGUUAUCCGGAUUUAUUGGGUUUAAAGGGUGCGUAGGUGGUCGGAUAAGUUAGAUGUGAAAUCCCGAGGCUCAACCUCGGAAUUGCCUUUGAUACUGUCAGGCUAGAGAGUAGUUGAGGUAGGCGGAAUGCAUGGUGUAGCGGUGAAAUGCUUAGAGAUCAUAAAGAACACCGAUUGCGAAGGCAGCUUACCAAGCUACUACUGACGUUGAGGCACGAAAGCGUGGGGAGCAAACAGGAUUAGAUACCCCAGUAGUC
rnacentral:rRNA from 1 species